GAAUCCCACUCCAUGCUGUCAGCCGCAAGCCUGACAUGGGGCUUGAACCCACAAACUGUGAGAUCAUGACCUGAGCAGAAGUCACAAGUUGGACGCUUAACCGAGUGAGCCACCCAGGCAUCCCUAUAACAGGUCUUAAAAUCAGAAUUGGUUCACAUGACUGUGGAGACCAGCAAAUCCACAAUCUGAUGAACAGGCCAGCAGACAGGAGACCCAAAGAAGAGAUGAUGUUGCAGCUCAAGUCCAAAGGCAGACUGAAGGCAAAAUUCAUCCUCAGAGCUCUCACUCUGCUUUUAAGGCCUUCAACUGAUUGGAUAAGGCACACCCACAUUAUUGACAAUAAUAAUCUACUGAUUUAGGUGUUAAUCUCACCUAAAAAAUACUUUCACAGCAAUAUCCAGGUGGGUGUUUGACCAAAUACGGGUACUGAGACCUAGACAAAGUGACACAUUAACGACCACAAGACCUUUUCUUUGAAUGAAUGCAACAUUAUAUAGAAGUCCAUAUGUAACAAAAAUAAAAGUUCAAUCGUUAAAGCAGGGCGAGUCCCUGAAAUUCUUUACAGUUAACACCUUUCUAUGCCACCACUUUCCAUCACUAAGGGACCUUUCAGAAUCUGCAAGGGUUUAUUGAUGCACCAUAUAAAAAUCACAUAAAUAAUGGGGCUAUUUCCAACUAUCAGACACAAAUUGAUAUUAAGAAGAUAUGGUCAGACAAGGUCCUGAAGAACUUUCCUUAACUCUAAAUAUUCAGAAAUCUGUAAUUUAUUGUCACUUGCCUAAAUGUAUGACAAAUCUGCUUAUCAAAUGCUUCUCUCACCCAGGAUCAUGUUUAUUAAAUACAGCAAUUAUUUAUUGACUACCUCCUUUAGGCAGGGUUCUCUAUUAAAUUUUGCUUCGACAAAGUUUUAGGAAGUUCAUUUCAAAAAGGAUAGCAAAGACAAAUUUAUACUCAAUCUAUGUGUAAAUUCUUAGAUAUUUCAAAUGAAUGGAGUAAGAAUCAGUAAAAUUUUAAUGUAAUAAUAUGGCAUUUCUUAACAGUAUGAAAAACAUCAAAGUUACAAACCUUUAAAUUAAAUCAAGCUCUCUGAAUAUAGGAAUCCAUCACUGUAUAAUUAAACAGUAAUGAUUUCUGAAAUGAAACCCUCUGGUAUAGCAUUUUAAAAUCAUUCUGCCUAUUUUGUCUAAACUUACACAAAUGCAGCACCAAAAUAUCUGGGAAUGUUCAUAUGAAAAAGAAAAUUCUUCUUCCCAGUCAUGAGCUCUUAAAUGAGAACUCAAGGCACUGUAGAGAUUAACCAGGAAUCAAAAUAUAGAUCUGAAUUGCAUUCGUUUUGAAACAAUUUAAAUGUAGCAAUAAUUGCUUUAUGCAUAGAUAAUUUUUUAAAAUGAAAAGUAGUUUGAAGUUCAUUAGAUAAUGAAGCUAAUAACAUUUUGCCACAGUCUUUCCUGUAUUUCCCAUAAUUAUGAUGUGAUGACCUGGAUUCUCUAAAAGCCAUGUUUAGAUUGACAUUUUAUGUUAUCUCUAACUGUAGCAACACAUGUUAGUGUUCUUUCCUUUUACUACAGAUGAAGAAACAAAAAUUCAAAGAACCCAUGUGAUGUUAAAGUCAAACGACUAGGAAGUACAGAAGCUGGAUCUGAAACCAAGUUUACUUAUAGAAUUUUUGCACCUGGUUGUAUCAAAUGCCAGUGAUAUAACUACACAUAUUAUUUUUUUUAUACCUGGGAACAGCGGAGACCUAGAGAGAAGAGAUAAACUCUUAAGAAAAAAGUCAAAGUGAUAAGAUCAAGAUGACAAAUUGAGCAUAUUUGUCCAUCUCACAUCUUACCUUAUAUUCCCUUGGAAUAAUAUAAAAUAAAAAUUUAAAGAAUAAACUUAUAGAGGGCUCCAUGUCCAGGAUAACAAUGUGAAGAGCUCUACUGACCCACUCCUCAGUGAAAUAAGCAAAGCUAAUGAAAAUUACAAAAAAAAAAAAAGUCUCCAGAAAUGGUUCUAAGAGAAUACAACAAAUUAAAACAUUUACUCAAGAAUAAAAGUAGUUCCUACUUCUGUCAGUCAGAAGAGUGAAAGACUAUGACAUUUAAUCCGUGACUCACUGCUUCUCUCCACCCACCAAACUCAGCUUGAUGAGAACUCUACUACAGAGACAAUCAAGGAAAGAGACAGCGGAAAGGAUGCCUCCUGGGGAAAGGAAAAACUUUAGAAACCGGCUUCAAAAACUACCGUUAUCUGAAUUUAAUUGGACCAGACUGCUAAACAAUUUAUGCUCCGGAGUAAUGGUGAAAACAAUAGAGAAAUCAGCCAGUAACUAAUAAAGCCUAAAUGAGUAAGGUAUAAGACUAAAGGAAGCAGAUAAGUUAACAGAGAGAUUGGAGAAAGAGACAGUCAAGAGAGCCCUGGUAAAAUCAAUGUCAUUCCAGGGUGACUGUAGACAUGCCCAAGGUUACAUCUUCAGAUGAGUGCCACCAAAGGUUUUACACUACAAUGGAAAUGGACUUUACCAAGUAGCCUAGUCAAGUCAGAAAACAAGCACAGAAACAAUAAAAACAACCCCAGAGUGCGGGGAAUCACCAUCCAUAGUUCCUAUAAGAUAGUGUGUAAAAUGGCUGGCAUUUUACAGAAUAGUGAGAUAUGCUACAUGUGACCCAGACAUAGGAAAAAGAGCAGGUAACAGAGAUUGUGAGAUAGACCAGAUUUCAGAUUUAGCAGACAAAGCCUUGAAAGUAGCCAUUACAAAUAUGUUCGAAGAACUAAAGGAAACCAUGCUUAUGGAAUAGAGAAAGGUAUGAAACAUGAAGACAGUAUCUCAUCAAAUAGAGAGUAUCAAGAAAGAUAUAGAAAUCAUUAAAAGAUCUAGAUGAAAAUUCUGUAUUUGAAAACUAUAAUAACAAAUGAAAAUUUCACUAGAGGGCUCAACAACAAAUUUUAAUUGGAGGAGGAAUCAAUGAACUCAAAAGUAAAUUGAUAGGAAUUAUGCAAUCCAAACACAGAGAGAAAAUAGAGUGAAGAAAAAUAACAGAUCUUUGGAGAAAUGUGGGGCAUCUUUAAAUGUAUCAACACAUGUGUAUUUUAAAUGCCAGGAGGAAAGGAAGAAAGAAAGGAGCCAAAUAUAGCUAUAGCUAUAGAUAUUUCCACAUAUAUUAAUUAAUUAAUUAAUUAAUGUAUUAAUUAAUUUAAUGUAUUAAAGAAAUGCAGCUGAGGAUUUCACAAGUUGCCAAAAGACAUUAAUCUAUACAUCCAGGAAGCUAAAUUAAUUCCAAGUAGGAUAAAUACAAAAAAAAAAAAGCAUACCAGAUACAUCAAAGUAAAAAUGCUGAAAGCUAAGAACAAAAAGAAAACGUGAACACAGCAAGAUAAAAAUGACUUAUCACAUACAAGGGAACUCCAAUAGGACUUAGUUAACUUCUCAUCAGAUGUAAUGGAGGUCAAAGGUAGAGGAUGACAUUGGAAAUGCUCAAAAACAAACAAAAAAAGAUUGUUAACCAAGAAUCUUCUAUCCAACAAAACUAUCUCUCUAAAUGAAGUCAACAAGAAGACAAUACCAGAUAAAAACUGAAAGAAUCUGUUACCAGCAGACAAACUUUGCAAGAAGUACUAGAAGAAAUCCUUUAGGUGACAGCCAAAUAAAUAGAAAUUGGAAUCCACAGAGAAAAAACAGAAGACAACAAUAAAGUUAAUUAUACAAUUAUAAAAGACAGUAUAAAUGCAUAUUUUUUUCUUAACUAAGUUAAAAAGCAUGUGUAUAAAACCAUAUAUGUAUUAUUGAGCCAAUAGCGCAUAGAAAUACAAUGUAUUUGACAACAACAGCACAAAGGAGGUGGGUGGGAGUGGAGUUGUGUUGAAGUAAGGUAAUGACGUGAGAUCAUUACAGGAACAGGUGACUACAACCAGAAAUAGCAGAUAAGAAGGUAAAUAGGAUAUACUCUAAAGUAUACACUUGCUCUCCUUUCUUUCCUCAGCUUUUUUAACAGACAUAAAAUUUUAUAAAGUGAUUAUAUAUAUGUAAUAUAUACGAUUUUGCAUGCAUAUAAUGGCACAAAAAUGGGGAAGAAGGAAUAGUUA